UGGGGAAUAUUGCACAAUGGGCGCAAGCCUGAUGCAGCCAUGCCGCGUGUGUGAAGAAGGCCUUCGGGUUGUAAAGCACUUUCAGCGGGGAGGAAGGCGGUGAGGCUAAUAACCUCAUCGAUUGACGUUACCCGCAGAAGAAGCACCGGCUAACUCCGUGCCAGCAGCCGCGGUAAUACGGAGGGUGCAAGCGUUAAUCGGAAUUACUGGGCGUAAAGCGCACGCAGGCGGUCUGUCAAGUCGGAUGUGAAAUCCCCGGGCUCAACCUGGGAACUGCAUUCAAAACUGGCAGGCUAGAGUCUUGUAGAGGGGGGUAGAAUUCCAGGUGUAGCGGUGAAAUGCGUAGAGAUCUGGAGGAAUACCGGUGGCGAAGGCGGCCCCCUGGACAAAGACUGACGCUCAGGUGCGAAAGCGUGGGGAGCAAACAGG
rnacentral:rRNA from 1 species